rnacentral:rRNA from 1 species
UAAGGAAUAUUGGUCAAUGGGCGGAAGCCUGAACCAGCCAUGCCGCGUGCAGGAUGACUGCCCUAUGGGUUGUAAACUGCUUUUGUCCAGGAAUAAACCUAGAUACGUGUAUCUAGCUGAAUGUACUGGAAGAAUAAGGAUCGGCUAACUCCGUGCCAGCAGCCGCGGUAAUACGGAGGAUCCGAGCGUUAUCCGGAUUUAUUGGGUUUAAAGGGUGCGUAGGCGGCCUAUUAAGUCAGGGUGAAAUACGGUGGCUCAACCAUCGCAGUGCCUUUGAUACUGAUGGGCUUGAAUCCAUUUGAAGUGGGCGGAAUAAGACAAGUAGCGGUGAAUGCAUAGAUAUGUCUUAGAACUCCGAUUGCGAAGGCAGCUCACUAAGCUGGUAUUGACGCUGAUGCACGAAAGCGUGGGGAUCGAACAGGAUUAGAUACCCUGGUAGUCCACGCCCUAAACGAUGAUAACUCGAUGUUGGCGAUAGACAGCCAGCGUCCAAGCGAAAGCGUUAAGUUAUCCACCUGGGGAGUACGCCCGCAAGGGUGAAACUUAAAGGAAUUGAC